rnacentral:rRNA from 1 species
AUUGAACGCUAGCGGGAUGCUUUACACAUGCAAGUCGAACGAGUGGCGGACGGGUGCGUAAUAUAUCGGAACGUUCCCAGUAGCGGUGGAUAACUCCUCGAAAGAGUGGCUAAUCCCGCAUACUAUUGGUUCUGCCCAUAUCGGAUUAUCUAGUUGGUGGGGUAAAGCCUCACCAAGGCAACGAUCCGUAGCUGGUUUGAGAGGACGACCAGCCACACUGGGACUGAGACACGGCCCAGACUCCUACGGGAGGCAGCAGUGGGGAAUAGUGGACAAUGGGGGAAACCCUGAUGCAGCCAUCGCGCGUGUAUGAGAAGGCCUUCGGGUUGGAAAGUACUUUUGGCAGAGAAGCGGUAUCAGCAGAAUAAGCACCGGCUAACUACGUGCCAGCAGCCGCGGUAAUAC